rnacentral:misc_RNA from 1 species
CCGAGUUUACAACUCCCAAACCCAUGUGAACAUACCUACUGUUGCCUUCGGCGGGAUUAGCCCGGCUCCUCGUGUUAACCCGGGAUCAGGCGCCCGCCCAGAGGAACCCUUAAACUCUUGUUUUAUAUUUGUAAUCUUCUGAGUAGUUUUAAACAAAUAAAUAA